UCAAGCGAAUAAGCGCACACGGUGGAUGCCUUGGCGGUCAGAGGCGAUGAAGGACGUGGCAGCCUGCGAAAAGUAUCGGGGAGCUGGCAACAAGCUUUGAUCCGGUAAUGUCCGAAUGGGGAAACCCACCCGCUUGCGGGUAUCCUGCAGUGAAUACAUAGCUGCUGGAAGCGAACCUGGUGAACUGAAAUAUCUAAGUAACCAGAGGAAAAGAAAUCAACCGAGAUUCCGUAAGUAGCGACGAGCGAACGCGGACUAGCCCUUAAGCUGGAUUGGUUCUAGGAAAACGCUCUGGAAAGAGCGGCCAUAGAAGGUGAUAGCCCUGUAUCUGAAAGGGCCAUUCCAGUGAAGACGAGUAGGGCGGGGCACGUGAAACCCUGUCUGAACAUGGGGGGACCAUCCUCCAAGGCUAAAUACUACUGACCGACCGAUAGUGAACCAGUACCGUGAGGGAAAGGCGAAAAGAACCCCGGAGAGGGGAGUGAAAUAGAACCUGAAACCGUGUGCGUACAAGCAGUAGGAGCUCCGCAAGGAGUGACUGCGUACCUUUUGUAUAAUGGGUCAGCGACUUACUGUUCGUGGCAAGCUUAACCGUAUAGGGGAGGCGAAGGGAAACCGAGUCUGAUAAGGGCGCAUAGUCGCGGGCAGUAGACCCGAAACCGGGUGAUCUAGUCAUGCCCAGGGUGAAGGUGCGGUAACACGCACUGGAGGCCCGAACCCACUCCCGUUGCAAAGGUAGGGGAUGAGGUGUGAUUAGGAGUGAAAAGCUAAUCGAACCCGGAGAUAGCUGGUUCUCCUCGAAAGCUAUUUAGGUAGCGCCUCAUAUGUAUCCUCUCGGGGGUAGAGCACUGUUAUGGCUAGGGGGUCAUCGCGACUUACCAAACCAUUGCAAACUCCGAAUACCGAGACGGACUGUAUGGGAGACACACGGCGGGUGCUAACGUCCGUCGUGAAAAGGGAAACAACCCAGACCCACAGCUAAGGUCCCAAAUUCACUGCUAAGUGGAAAACCAUGUGGAAAGGCACAGACAGCCAGGAGGUUGGCUUAGAAGCAGCCACCCUUUAAAGAAAGCGUAAUAGCUCACUGGUCGAGUCGGUCUGCGGGGAAGAUUUAACGGGGCUAAGCAGUGAACCGAAGCUUGGGGUGCAUACUUUGUAUGCGCGGUAGAGGAGCGUUCCGUAAGCCGUUGAAGGUGGAUUGAGAAGUCUGCUGGAGGUAUCGGAAGUGCGAAUGCUGACAUGAGUAACGAUAAUGCGGGUGAAAAACCCGCACGCCGAAAGCCCAAGGUUUCCUUGCGCAACGUUAAUCGGCGCAGGGUGAGUCGGCCCCUAAGGCGAGGACGAAAGUCGUAGUCGAUGGGAAGCAGGUUAAUAUUCCUGCACCUCGCGUAAGUGCGAUGGAGGGACGGAGAAGGUUAGGUGUACCAGGCGUUGGUUGUCCUGGGGAAAGGCGGUAGGUUUGGAUCUUUGGCAAAUCCGGGAUCCUUUAAGACCGAGCACCGAGACGAGCCUUUAAGGCGAAGUCACUGAUACCACGCUUCCAGGAAAAGCUCCUAAGCUUCAGCUUACGCAGACCGUACCGUAAACCGACACAGGUGGGUAGGAUGAGAAUUCUCAGGCGCUUGAGAGAACUCGGGUGAAGGAACUAGGCAACAUGGCACCGUAACUUCGGGAGAAGGUGCACCCUUUUUGGUGGCUCGUGCGAGCUAUAGCUGAAGAGGGUCGCAGUAACCAGGCCGCUGCGACUGUUUAUCAAAAACACAGCACUCUGCAAACACGAAAGUGGACGUAUAGGGUGUGACGCCUGCCCGGUGCUGGAAGGUUAAUUGAUGGGGUCAGCCGCAAGGCGAAGCUCUUGAUCGAAGCCCCAGUAAACGGCGGCCGUAACUAUAACGGUCCUAAGGUAGCGAAAUUCCUUGUCGGGUAAGUUCCGACCUGCACGAAUGGCGUAACGACAGCGGCGCUGUCUCCACCCGAGACUCAGUGAAAUUGAAAUCGCUGUGAAGAUGCAGCGUUCCCGUGGCAAGACGGAAAGACCCCGUGAACCUUUACUAUAGCUUUACACUGAACGUUGAGUUCGUCUGUGUAGGAUAGGUGGGAGGCUAUGAAACUGUGGCGCUAGCUGCAGUGGAGCCAUCCUUGAAAUACCACCCUGUCGUGCUUGACGUUCUAACCUGGGCCCAUUAUCUGGGUCGGGGACCGUGUAUGGUGGGUAGUUUGACUGGGGCGGUCUCCUCCUAAAGAGUAACGGAGGAGCUCGAAGGUACGCUCAGCGCGGUCGGACAUCGCGCACUGUGUGCAAAGGCAUAAGCGUGCUUGACUGCAAGAUCGACGGAUCAAGCAGGUAGGAAACUAGGACUUAGUGAUCCGGUGGUUCUGUAUGGAAGGGCCAUCGCUCAACGGAUAAAAGGUACUCCGGGGAUAACAGGCUGAUACCGCCCAAGAGUUCAUAUCGACGGCGGUGUUUGGCACCUCGAUGUCGGCUCAUCACAUCCUGGGGCUGUAGUCGGUCCCAAGGGUAUGGCUGUUCGCCAUUUAAAGUGGUACGCGAGCUGGGUUCAGAACGUCGUGAGACAGUUCGGUCCCUAUCUGCCAUGGGCGUUGGAGAUUUGAGAGGGGCUGCUCCUAGUACGAGAGGACCGGAGUGGACGAACCUCUGGUGUUCCGGUUGUCACGCCAGUGGCAUUGCCGGGUAGCUAUGUUCGGAAGCGAUAACCGCUGAAAGCAUCUAAGCGGGAAGCGCGCCUCAAGAUGAGAUCUCCCGGGGCACAAGCCCCCUGAAGGAACCAUGUAGACUACGUGGUUGAUAGGUCAGGUGUGUAAGUACAGCAAUGUAUUGAGCUAACUGAUACUAAUGAUCCGUGCGGCUUGACCAU
rnacentral:rRNA from 1 species